rnacentral:rRNA from 1 species
GACGAACGCUGGCGGCGUGCCUAAUACAUGCAAGUCGAACGCAGUGGGGACGGGUGAGUAACACGUGGGUAACCUCCCAUAAGAGGGGAUAACCCUUGGAAACAGGUGCUAAACCGCUACUGAUGGAUGGACCCGCGGUGCAUUAGCUAGUUGGUGGGGUAACGGCUCACCAAGGCAACGAUGCAUAGCCGGCUGGAGAGGAUGAUCGGCCACCCUGGGACUGAGACACGGCCCAGACUCCUACGGGAGGCAGCAGUGGGGAAUCUUGGGCAAUGGACGAAAGCCUGACCGAGCAACGCCGCGUGAGUGAAGAAGGCUUUCGGGUCGUAAAGCACUGUUGUCAGAGAAGCGUUACUUAACGAGAAAGCCACGGCUAACUACGUGCCAGCAGCCGCGGUAAUUC